AAAAGAGGGGAAGCCAGCUUUAUUCUCUGGUGAGAUUUUCUUAGCUUUUUACUGGCUCAUUUGUUCGAUUGGAUCCGUUGUCGACAGUAAAUUUGUUCCGAUCGUUCCUCCAUUCUGCUAAGCUUUUGGCUGCCUCCAUCGGGCUACUUUUUAUUUUUUGUAAAUGUCAUCAUAAGGGUUUGUGCCAGAUUUAAGUAAAACCUUCCCGUUGUGUGUUAAUCUGUGGGGUAUUGAUGGUUUUUAUUUAUUCCAUAUAUAUAAUCAUACGGUCCCGUUGAGAGCCAAGAUUAAUGUUCCGUUAUCUUGAGCUCACUAUUUUAGAAGAAUCCAUUGUGUUUAGUUCCUUUUGUGAUUUGAGGGUGGAAAGCUCUAACCUUUUUCAUAGGUGUUGUAGGUUAUUUAUUCUUGAGAAGAGACUCCUCCCAACUAAUUUCAAGAAAAAAAUGGCCAAAGAUAGUAUUUUUGAUGUUAAGAGUUUAUGUUUGAUAUUAAAUUUCUUAGCUUUAGUUGGAUUGUGACACCUUUGUCUUACAGAACGAUUUAUUAUUUUUGUUGCGUUGGCUAAUGUUUCUUUAUUUAAAUGUGUUUGAACAUUAUUUAUUACCAAUGAAAAAGAAAAAUUGAUUAGCUAAAGAUAUGAUUUUUAAUGUUAGAAUAUGUCUAAGAAAGUAAAAAUCUUAGCUUUAGUUGGAUUGUGACACCUUUGUCCUAUAAGACGAUUUACAAUUGGAAAAGGCUAGACUUUUCACUCAAUUAGGGCAAGAAUUCUUCAAAAGAGGAUUGCUUUUCUCAGUGUUUUAUGGACUCGGUUGAUUGAUUGAAUCCUUAGUCGACAAUCUGCUAAGCUUUUUGCUGCCUUCACCAGCUACUUUUUUUCCUUUUCCUUGGUUUGCAACUUUUGAUCUGAGAGUGCCUGCCAGUUAGUUUUAACCAGUGAAUGUAUAUUUACAGUUUUUAUGCAUGUCCAGAUAUGUAUUGAGAGUCAAUAUUUCUUUUCUUUCUUUUGUGGGUGUGAUCUAAUUAUUAAUGUCCAUUAUCCUGAGGUCAUUAUUUUAGAAGAAUCCACUGUGUUUAGUUUCCUCUUGUAAUUUGAGAGUGGAAAGAUAUAACCUUUUUUCACAGGUGUUGUAGAUUAUUUAUUCCCGAGAAGAAACUCCUCACAAUUAAGCAUCAUGACAAGUAAGUUUUCCUAAAUUCAUGUGAUGCCACCUUACUCUUAAUGGUUUAUGGACAUUUAUAAUCACUGCAAAAUCUUGCGUCAUAAAAAAAACAAUUGUGAAUUACUGAUCUAAGAUGCGAUUUACCCUAUCUCUGACUAGGAUUUAUACAUUACGAUGAUAUUAAAGAGUAAGGGGAAAAGUUAUCUUUUUUCCUAAAAAUUUUCUAUAAACAAAAUUCUUUCUCGUAAAAAUUCCCUUUCCUUUCUAACUUAGAAAGUAUAGUUGCUUUCUCUUCCCGAACCUUUGGCAAGCCGUCUUGUCUGUUUAUUGGAUUAAUAUCUGAUAGCUUUUCCUUCUCCCCAACCUCUGUCAUGUCUCUCUAUUUUGAGUUCUCACUCUCACUUUUUAGGCUUCACGUACCUCUUAGAGAAGAUCGGUAAAAACUUACCUGCACCGGGUGUUUAUACCAAACCAAUAGAUAUAUGACAUGUGUCUUGCAUAUGGACUUCAAUCAUUUAACCAUGGUAAAUUACACGCAUUCUCAUCUAAUUAAAUUAAUUAACCAUAAUAAAUUAAUAUAGUUUGGUGUAAACACCCGGUGUGGGUAAGUAUUUACCGAGAAGAUCAGUCUUUACUUCAAAGAAGGGCCUUGACUUAAAUUUACUUCAGAAAAGAAGAGGAGUAGGUAGAACACUUUUUAACUUGUUCACAUUAAAAAGGGGAAAAGAAAAAAGAAUGAAUAUAUUGCUCAAAGCUUUUCUGGACUAAAGAAAACCCAAUAAUUACAGGUGAGAGGUUGAAGAAUAUAGUUGGGUCUUAGAGAGCACUAAUUCUGAAUCAACGUCUCUGUAUAUUAGGCUUGAAUCCAACAUUUGGACCUUAAAUUAAACCCUUUAUGGGGCUCCAGGCAUAAUGAGGCUAAUGGCCCUAGUGAAUUGAAUUUUUUGCUCAGGUGGGCAAGCUGAGCAUGCAUUUUGUUAAAAGAUUGAAAAUACUCAAUCGCAUUGCCUGUGGGUUGAAGACUAUAUCAAAGCCUAUAUCUAGUGGGUUGAACCACAAAUUCCAACAAUCCAUCGUCCGAAUGGCUUAGGUAUAUGAAUUAUUUGGUAUUUAGGCUGAAUUUUGAAAAGGAAUUUUGAAAUAUAUUCUACCUCUGAUUAUAAAGUUUUUAAUACAUCAGUGAAUCAGCAAUUCUACUCUCUUUUUGGAUAUGCAAACUAACAACACUUGAUAUUUUCUUUGUGUGGAAUAUUUCAAAGAAAGCAAGCUAGAAAGAUGGCCAAAGUUGGUCAUGUUGACAAGGAGGAGCCCUGGACUCGAACUGUAUUCUUUAGCAUCAAGCUGCCAAUAUUUUCUUUUUCUAGAAUGCCAUUGAAUUUAUUCAUUUUACCAUUUUUCUUUAUUUAGAUUGUAGGUUUUGCAUCAAUCUAUGAAUAUAUACAACGUAUAGAGUAUCACAAGGACCUGAUGGCCAUACCGGAGGGAUGCAAAGGGAGUGGAAGAAAAUGAUGUUCGAUUCAAGUGGUACUAGUCAUCGUUUCAGGGGCGGAGCCAUGCACCUCAAAUAAGACGCCCAAAUUGAUGCCAACUUGAAGUAACGAUUCAUAGAAUCUCAACUUUAGAAGUGAUUAAUAUAUGCAUUAUUGUACGUUGGAUCAUGCUGAAUUAAGUUAU